CUGGCUCAGGAUGAACGCUAGCGGCAGGCUGACACAUGCAAGUCGAGGGGCAUCGGGAGUAGCAAUACUUGCCGGCGACCGGCGCAAGGGUGCGUAACGCGUGAGCAACAUGCCCGUAUCAGGGGGAUAAUCCAUGGAAACGUGGUCUAAUACCCCAUAGUAAUUAUGUAAGGCAUCUUAUAUAAUUUAAAGCUUUGGUGGAUACGGAUUGGCUCGCGUGACAUUAGCUAGAUGGUAAGGUAACGGCUUACCAUGGCUACGAUGUCUAGGGGUUCUGAGAGGAAGGUCCCCCCACACUGGAACUGAGACACGGUCCAGACUCCUACGGGAGGCAGCAGUGAGGAAUAUUGGACAAUGGAUGGAAAUCUGAUCCAGCCAUGCCGCGUGCAGGAAAGACGGCCCUAUGGGUUGUAAACUGCUUUUGUAUGGGAGCAAUAAGGGCUACGCGUAGUCCGAUGAGAGUACCAUACGAAUAAGCACCGGCUAACUCCGUGCCAGCCGCUGC
rnacentral:rRNA from 1 species